CUGCAGGAAUGUGUGGGGGAUGUUUUUACCAAAUGUGGAAAAAAGGACUUUUCUUGUUAUUUUUGACAACACGUCUUGGGUUGAAACAAAGUCCUGUCUAAUGACUCGACUCCUCCACUGACCUUUGCUUUAAUGCAUGAACUUUGAGGUAAAUGGACUGUUCAUUUAAAAAGGUGUGCGUUGCAUCAUUUUAAACCUAUUUAACUGUAAAAUGUUGGAGCUUGAGUUUUAAUAUCUUCAUCAAUAUUAUCUAUGUUCGUAGUUCGUAGUUCAGAUGCAGUGUCAGAAAGGUGAGAAAAAAGAAAUGUUUCCUGACAAAAGUACAGCCUCCACUCAAUGGAUGUUGGUGGGCCUUGUUUGGAUUCAGUACCAGAACUAGUACCAAUGAUUGUCGACUCAGACAUCUACAUUUGUAGGUUCCACACAAAACGUUGACUUCUACGUUGAAUACAGCAAUAAUUAGAAGAUCAUAUUCAAGAGAUCCAGCAGCUUGACUGAUAACUGCAGGGUUUAAUCGGGGCAGCUAAAUGGAACUGGACCAUCACUGAUUUGACUAAUUGCACCUGUGAGUUUUUUCACACAGAUUUGUUCCCGUGUCCACGGUGAACAGCGACUUUCCACAGUACGUCCAAACCGGAGCGCUCUCCCUCUUUCUCUCUCUCUCUCUCUCCCCCCCUCGCUCUCCAACAGUGCGUCCUCGUCGGUCACUGUGCGCUCUCCUCCUGGCUCUUCCUUCUUCUGCGUCUUUUACGCACAGACGCGUCUUUCUUCUCCACAUCCGCGUCGCUCUGCUGUUUCUUUCCGGCCACAGUUCACCUCCAGCCGCCGCAGUUACUGUCGUUUUCUCUCUCUACUUUGCAUUUCAGUUUCGUUAGUGUGACAAGUGUCGCGCUCAGUUCGGAGCAAUACAUAUUAUAAGAAACCUUUUUCGUUUUGGCUCAUGGAGGAUUUAGUGUCGUGACAUGCGUUCAGCGGCAGUGGCAGAAGCAGCCGGCGUUUCAACAGAGAGAUGGGAGUCUCUGCAUUUACGGUCACAUGAAUGUCAGCGCUGCAGGCCAGAUGCCGGCGAUGGAGGAACUUGUCAGUGAGAGUGCCAGCAUGCCAAAGCGCAUGGCUCUGAUCUGCUUCCUGUCUCUGGUCAUGCUAAUGAGCAUCCUGGGAAACCUGCUGGUCAUGGUGGCCGUGUGCAAAGACAGACAACUCAGGAAAAUCAAGACCAACUACUUUAUCGUGUCUCUGGCGUUUGCCGACCUACUGGUGUCUGUACUAGUGAUGCCCUUUGGUGCCAUUGAGCUGGUCCACCAGCACUGGAUCUACGGAGAGACUUUCUGUCUGGUCCGGACGUCACUGGACGUCCUGCUGACCACAGCGUCCAUACUGCAUCUGUGCUGCAUCGCACUGGACAGGUACUACGCCAUCUGCUGUCAGCCGCUGGUCUACAGGAACAAGAUGACACCGAUGAGAGUGGCUUUGAUGAUCGGCGGCUGCUGGGUUAUUCCCACCUUCAUCUCUUUUCUGCCCAUCAUGCAGGGCUGGAACAGCAUUGGCAUCGACGACGUGAUCGAGAAGCGACGCCACAGUGAAGGCAGCAACUCCACGUCCUGUGUCUUCAUGGUCAAUAAGCCAUACGCCCUCACCUGUUCUUUGGUGGCCUUCUACAUCCCACUGGUCCUGAUGGUGCUGGCCUACCAGAGGAUCUACAUCACAGCCCGAGCCCACGCCCUGCAGAUCAGCAUGCUGCAGCGAGCAGGAGGAGCGGGAACCAACACACCCGUCAUCUCUGGUUCCAGUCCCGGUGCCGGACCGGGCGCCGCGGCCGCAGACUCUGCCGACCAUCAACGGCACCACCGCAUGCGAACAGAGACAAAGGCGGCCAAGACACUGUGCAUCAUUAUGGGGUGCUUCUGCCUCUGCUGGGCACCGUUCUUUGUGACCAACGUGGUGGACCCGUUUAUAGACUACACAGUGCCCGACCAGCUGUGGGCAGCCUGCCUCUGGCUGGGCUACAUCAACUCCAUGUUGAACCCCAUCCUCUACGCCUUCCUCAACAAGUCUUUUCGCCGUGCCUUCCUCAUCAUACUGUGCUGUGGGAGGAAGAGGUACCGAAGACCAUCCAUCCUGGGGCCCACUGCCCCCUGUACUGCCACGCAGAUCAACGGAUCCACACAUGUUCUCAAAUAUUCUGUCCUUCACAAUGGAAGCCACACAGAGCAGGAGAAGACAAAGUCUCUGCUCAUUGAGUCCAGCUUGUGACAUGUCACAUCUCCGUUGGUCUCCUGCCUUUGUGUCAACACAAGUCAGACUUUUUACACACAACAGGCUAGUGACAUUACCGGGGCAGUGGAAAAGACGCGACUCAAACUCUUGUCUCAGAAGGUGCGGCAUUUCUGUCUAUUCUAUGGUUGUGCAGGCCCACAGACUGAGGUGACCAAGCUGAACUGAAACAGACUCGUCAGCAGUUUGCCUUUAGGAGGACCUGUGGCUGCGACUGCCUUAAGGACAACUUUAAAGGGAAGCGACUGUGUGGGAAAGCUGUGGAUGUCAAAGUUUCCUAGCGAGGCUAACAGUACCUUCGUAGCUGGCAGGACACAGGAGCUGUUAUUUUACCAGUGCCUCGCUUGAUGACAUCCAGCAGGUUAUUUUGAGACUUUUGCUUUUUGUAAGUCUUUGUUUAGAUCCACGUCAGUACCACAAACUCACUGACUGAUUGGCAGCAGGACACCGGCUCCUCUUGUUUUCCUUUGAGAUAAAAUUGAUAUUUUAGUCAAUGGGCUUCAGUGCAGAGAAAUGUCUCUGCCUCCUGGUGGUGACAUGAAUUAUUGCUUUAAGAAGACCAUUUUUCUGCCAUUUACUGUCAUGAACUACGGAGUCAAGGCUGUGAAGAGAAUGAAAUCAAUAAUUCACAAGUGUACGGGGUGGGGCGCUGGAGGGGGGAGUUGGUUGUCUGUUUGUUUGUAAAUUCACACUUGUGGGUUUCAUUUUAGGCUAAUUAUUGUGCAUAGUUUUAGUCUUUCUUUCUAAUUCUAAAAUGUCUAAUUUCAUCAUCAGAACAGGACAUAAAAGACGUUUUUUUUAGCGGUGCUGAAAUGUGUACGAUUUUCUUUCUUUUUCCGUCGCCAUGUGACAGUUCUGAUAAAAGGCUAAUUAGGGAUUAAUAAAACAUGUUGAUAAUCCUGCUGUUGAUUGGGUGCCUCCGAUAAGGCAGCGCUUGUCAUUUAGCCUUAAGUAUCAGUAAAUUGCCUUCAAGAUUCCUUCUUCCUCACUCAGCUUGUUAAAACUCCUUCACCCUCUGUCUACUUCUGUCUACUUUUGUUACUGAAACGUUGAAAGGCUCUCAGAAAAGAUUACACCAGCAGCAAGGGAAGAAAAAAAAAACUUGCACUGAUAAAGAUAACCAACAGUGUGUGUUUCUUUCUUGCACAGAUAUCGGAAGCUGAAUUAAAGCAGCAGUCUUAAUUUGUCAAUAAUUACAAAAGACUCUCUUUUGUAAUUAUUGGUACGUGACACAAAUUACAUCUCUGAUUUAACCACAUUAUUGUCUCUAUUUUUAAUAUAUUAACUUCAUCAGGAUUUUUGUCAUUUAUAUAUUUGGAUUUUCUUUCAUCCCUCUAGCCUUUUUCCAAGUCUUUAUUUGAGCUGUAUAUUGAUACCAAAUAAGCCAAUAUGUUUACUCUGAGCAUUCUGUGUGGACCACAUGUGGUUUAAAAGUUGCUAUUUAUGCCGCGUUUGCACAUGUUCCCGUGCCAUCCCAGUGAAGCUCAGUUGUGUCCACUCAGGACACUGGAAUGGUUACAUUGCAGGUGAAAUUAGGUAAAAUUUGGAAAAGGAAAUACCUCAGAGUAGUUCUGCAGCACUUAGGAAAUCACCAAGAUUUCCUUUGGAAUGGUUCAGUCAACAUGUGAAUAAACAGACUCACGGCAAUGUGGAAAUAAAAAAUAAAAAUGAUGAUUCUUCUGAGGUUUGGAAGGUGCAGAUGUUAUGUUCUGUUUAUGUUCACCAGAAACGUUCCGUUGACCACGCUGCCGGAGACCACGGUUUGACAGCAGGCUUGUGGGAAAUCACAAUGUCAGAGGGAAACUCCACACAGCCAAGCUAAAUGUCUUACCUGCCAGAAUCCACGUCAGGUUGUUUGGGUGAUUAAUCAGGUGUCACUGAGUCUCCUCUCUCUUCUCUAACAGCAGAGUUAACCGAGUGUGGAGAAGUUGGAUCCUAGCUAAAGGGACCUGAGCUGAUCAGAAGGAUUGCGUUUCUCCUUCCCCCUCUCUGGCAGAUGUGGACCUGGUCAAGCAGAACACCUGUACAGGACAGCUAAGGUGAAAAGCAAAAGCCCUUUUUUGAAUAGCAUAAUUUAAAAGGCAGGUUUGCACUUCUCAGGUAUAUUUAUGUUUCUUAUUCAUGUACUAUAUUUAGACUUACUGUAUGUUAGAACCAAUAGACCUAAGAUUAUUUGAAAUUUAACAUGACUGAAUGAUUCUAAAGAAAUAUAUACUUUUUUUGGUACGUCAACUUUUGAUCACAGUAAAAUACGAUACCAAUAAGUUCCUGAACAAAUCUCCAAAAAUAAAAGUUUCUCAAAAAUGACUAAAAAUGCACUAAUUUGUCCAAAAAUACUUAGAUAAGCCAAUUUUUGUUGUUAAAAUUCAGAAAAAAAUAUACUUUUUUGGUACGUCAACUUUUGAUCACAGUAAAAUACUAUACCAAUAUGUUC